rnacentral:rRNA from 1 species
AUGCAAGUCGAGCGAACAGACGAGGAGCUUGCUCCUCUGACGUUAGCGGCGGACGGGUGAGUAACACGUGGGUAACCUACCUAUAAGACUGGGAUAACUCCGGGAAACCGGGGCUAAUACCGGAUAACACAUGAAACCGCAUGGUUUCAUGAUGAAAGACGGUUUUGCUGUCACUUAUAGAUGGACCCGCGGCGUAUUAGCUAGUUGGUAAGGUAACGGCUUACCAAGGCAACGAUACGUAGCCGACCUGAGAGGGUGAUCGGCCACACUGGAACUGAGACACGGUCCAGACUCCUACGGGAGGCAGCAGUAGGGAAUCUUCCGCAAUGGGCGAAAGCCUGACGGAGCAACGCCGCGUGAGUGAUGAAGGUCUUCGGAUCGUAGAACUCUGUUGUUAGAGAAGAACAAGGACGUUAGUAACUGAACGUCCCCUGACGGUAUCUAACCAGAAAGCCACGGCUAACUACGUGCCAGCAGCCGCGGUAAUACGUAGGUGGCAAGCGUUGUCCGGAUUUAUUGGGCGUAAAGCGAGCGCAGGCGGUUUCUUAAGUCUGAUGUGAAAGCCCCCGGCUCAACCGGGGAGGGUCAUUGGAAACUGGGAGACUUGAGUGCAGAAGAGGAGAGUGGAAUUCCAUGUGUAGCGGUGAAAUGCGUAGAUAUAUGGAGGUACACCAGUGGCGAAGGCGGCU